rnacentral:misc_RNA from 1 species
AAGUCGUAACAAGGUUUCCGUAGGUGAACCUGCGGAAGGAUCAUUAAAGAAUAUCGAGCUUCACAGCUCUUAUUCUCACCCUUUCUGUCAACAAUCUUGUUGCUUGCGCUCGUCGGCCGCAGACGAACCACUAGAAUCUCUGCCGUCUGAGUACUAUAUAAUAGUUAAAAA